rnacentral:rRNA from 1 species
CCCUUAGAUGUUCUGGGCCGCACGCGCGCUACACUGAUGCAUUCAACGAGUUUCUUCCUGGUCCGAGAGGAAUGGGUAACCUUUUGAAAGUGCAUCGUGAUAGGGAUAGACUAUUGCAAUUAUUGGUCUUCAACGAGGAAUUCCUAGUAGACGUAGUUCAUCAGACUGCAUCGAUUACGUCCCUGCCCUUUGUACACACCGCCCGUCGCUCCUACCGAUUGAAUGGUUUAGUGAGAUCUCCGGAUUGGCUCUGUAGGUCCCGCAAGGGAUUUAUUAGUAGCCAAGAAGCUGCUCAAACUUGAUCAUUUAGAGGAAGUAAAAGUCGUAACA